GGAAUCAUUGUCCACAGAAUUGUACACACUAACGAUCCCCCCUAAAAACCAGUCAAAUCAAAAUUUUUGGGGUCCACAACUUGACUGCAAGUAAAACCGAAUCGCGACUUACCCAUGCACAAGUUAACGGGACUCACCUGUAAUUUAUCAAUCACAUGUCAGCGGUA